rnacentral:ncRNA from 1 species
CUUCGAGGCAGGGUUAAUUUCCCUACCGGCGGUAUAGUCCGCAAACCAUUUUGGUUGAUUCGGUGAGAUUCCGAAACCGACGGUAAAGUCCGGAUGGAAGAAGU